rnacentral:rRNA from 1 species
UACGGGGGGGGCAAGCGUUGUUCGGAAUUACUGGGCGUAAAGGGCGCGUAGGUGGCCAACUAAGUCAGACGUGAAAUCCCUCAGCUUAACUGGGGAACUGCGUCUGAUACUGGAUGGCUUGAGUUUGGGAGAGGGAUGCGGAAUUCCAGGUGUAGCGGUGAAAUGCGUAGAUAUCUGGAGGAACACCGGUGGCGAAGGCGGCAUCCUGGACCAACACUGACACUGAUGAGCGAAAGCCAGGGGAGCAAACAGG